AUUGAACGCUGGCGGCAGGCCUAACACAUGCAAGUCGAACGAGUGGCGGACGGAUGAGUAAUAUCUGGGGAACUGCCUGAUGGCGGGGGAUACCUACUGGAAACGGUAGCUAAUACCGCAUACCAUCAGAUGUGCCCAGAUGGGAUUGGCUAGUUGGUGGGGUAACGGCGCACCAAGGCGACGAUCCCUAGCUGGUCUGAGAGGAUGAUCAGCCACACUGGAACUGAGACACGGUCCAGACUCCGACGGGAGGCAGCAGUGGGGAAUAUGGCACAAUGGGCGCAAGCCUGAUGCAGCCAUGCCGCGUGUAUGAAGAAGGCCUUAGGGUUGUAAAGUACUUUCAGCGGGGAGGCGUUACCCGCAGAAGAAGCACCGGCUAACUCCGUGCCAGCAGCCGCGGUAAUAC
rnacentral:rRNA from 1 species